UUUGCGUUUCAUUUUACUCAGGAUGGCUUUGAACAUUAUUGUGGAAGACAGUAAACAUUGUACUCCGUGUAAGACGAAGGAUAAGAAGAUAGAAUCCCAGUAUUACUGCACAGACUGUGAGGCAUAUUACUGUGAGGACUGCUUCGAGCUGCACCCGAGAGUGCCUUAUCUUGCAAAACAUAUUGUCCUGAAACAUGAUGAUAUUGCAGUCUGGUCAAAUCUUCAAUACAAAUGUACUACACAUGACAAAAAUCUGGAAUUCUUCUGUGGAGAACAUAAGUUGCUGUGUUGUCAUGUAUGUGUUUCGUUAAAGCACAGAGCAUGUGCCAACAUGGAAUAUGUAUUAGAAUCAGCGAAGAACAUUUGUUUAAAUGAUGAAAUAAAAACAAUGAUUCAGCAUACACAAGAAAAGUUGGACAAGAUAGAGUCAUACGCUGAUAAAAUUAGACAUAAGACCGAAGUUAAUGAAAACUCAAAGGAAGAAUACAUAAAGGAAUUGGAGGGGUAUAGAAGUAGAUUGAACAAAAUGUUUGACGUGUUAAUGAAAAAUGCAUUAGAUGAGAUGAAUGAAAGAGUCGAUAGAAAUUCAAAAUACUCCGAGGAAAUGACAAAAGAACUGAAAAACUUCGGAAAAGAGCUACAGGAUCUUAAGCACCAGCUUACAACAUCGACUGCCGGUAAGGAAGUUCUAAUUUACAUCAGUCUUAAAAGAGGGGAAUCUCUUGUCGAAGAAAUUACAAAAACGUUAUCAGAAAUCAAUAUUACUACUGACAAGGACAACUUCAAACCAGUGUUUGAUAAUAAAGUUGAAGAGUACGUUCGCAAUGUAAAACAAAUUGCGUAUCUCGAAGAUGAACAAAUGAGACAAGAAGCAGUAUCAAGUAAAGAAUGUCUAGUGCAAGCAUCAGUAUCAAGUGAAGAAUAUCAAGAUCUAACAUCAAUAUUAUAUGAAGAAGAAAACACGCUAGUGCAAGGAACAUUAACAAGUGAAAAAUAUGAGAGUCACGAAUCAGCAGUCUUUGAAAACGUUAUACAGCUAGAAUCAGAACCCUUGCCAAAAGUUGAAAAAUGGGAAGAACAAUAUGAACUAGAAGCGGAAACCAUUAAAGCAUACGAAGAGCCAGAGCUAUUUUUUGAAUAUAAAGGGCAAACAUAUGUACCUCGUGGAAUGGAAUGUGUACAAACUGUAAACUAUCCAGUUAUAGAAAAAUGUGUUGAAGCACCAGAGGAAAAAACUAAAAUUUGUAAUGAAAGGCAGUAUGAUAAAUCGAUGUUACAAAUGGACAAAGGGUAUGCUGGUACAUAUUGCGACACAUUGAAACAAUCUCAUAGUAAGUCAAGAUAUUCACCUAAAGUCAAACCCGGUAAAGGCAAUGUCAAAGAAAAGGUACCAGAACGUAUUGAGCAAUACACUGGUAAAAGCGUUAAUAAAGGCGAGAUAAAAUGUGACAAAUACUGGUCUAACAGUCAAAGUAGAGAUUGCUGUUGGAAUUGUGGUGGCUAUAAAACCAAACAGGGUUUUUGUAGUGAAUGUGGUACAGUGUGGAAGUAAACAUUAUGACAAAUGCCCUUCAGGUAACGUGCAAGGUAUUGGCCAAAAAAAUCUGUCUUCUAAAGAACACUUACAAAAGAGCAAGCAUUUUCUGAAUGAACAAAUCAGGAAUGGGACCUCAGACCUUCAUGCUCAACAGCUUACAGCUUAUCCACCACUAUGGGCUCUUUGUGAUUUUGUAUACGCAUCAUUAUUAUAACCCGCCGAAGGCGGAAGGAUAUUGUUUUGGCGUUAUCCGUCUGGCUGUUCGUACGUCCGAAAUUGAAAAUGCUAAUGAUUCAAAAGUUAUUAAAGCUUGAAUUACCAAACAUCACAAAGUUAUUAAUAAGCACAUAAACUUUGCGCACAUGUAGUAUUUUCCCCUUAACCCAGUGGAAGCAGUUUUUCUCCUUGAUUUAAAAAAAAUGAAAAUGCAUAUAAUUCCAAACGUGUUACAGCUAGAACCACGAAACCUCACAUACUUAUUGAUUAGUACAUGACCUUUUCUCAAAUAAUUUAUCAUCCCAUUGAGCCAGUAAAAGGAGAGGUUUUCUCCUUGGUUUGGUUAAAAAUGAAAUGCUUAUAAUUAAACUGUGUUUCAGCUAGAACUCACGUAAUAACUGGCACAUAAGCUUUGCUAACAUGCAGUAUUAUCCCCCUUGAUCAAGUAAAAGCAGAGUACUUCCCCUUGAUUCGUUAAAAAAAUGAAAUUGCUUAUAAUUCAAAAAGUGUUUUAAUUAGAAUCACCAAACCUCACAUAAUGACUGAUUGGCACAUGACCUUUGCUCACAUAUAGUAUUAUUCCUCAUGACCAAGUAAAAGCAGAGAUUAUAUCCUUGAUUUUGUAAAAGAUAGGGAAUUUCCACCGUACCUAAGUAACAUGUCGAUGGAUCUUCAUGAAACAUUGCAAAAACGUUGAUCACUAUAUGGCGGUGGUGCAUUAACCAGAGUCAUUGCCCUUUAGUUUUUUCAAUUAAUAAAUUUCGACAUAACAAAGUAAUCCAAUGAUGGAUAUUCAUGAUAUUUAACACAAAUAUAGAUCACAAUAGGGUGGUGGUUCACUCGCAUCUUUCAUCAAAAUCUCUAUAGCAACUGCAGAGGUGUUCUAAGCUUCCUAACUCCCACAAAUCAAAGUAAUCUUUUGAAGGAUCUUCAUGAAACUUAACACAAAUAUAGAUCACUAUACGGCAGAGCUUUUUCCAUUCAUUUUGUAAAAAUAUGAACCAACAAAUCAUUUCAUGGUCAUUUGUACAUAACAUGUAUAUAUUUUGAAAUUAAAUGUCUCUCCAUAAUAUAGUCCCCUCAUUCACAAUACAUUUUGUUCGGCGGAGGAUAUAAGUUCACUGAAUUUGUUUGAUAAGAUUUUUUUAUCAUUUAUAAGACAUUGAAUGCCCAGCCUCCGGUAUAAGAAAUACUAAAUAUUAUGUCCAUGUAAAAUAUUUUAUUACAUCCCUUUUUUAGCUUUAAUACUUCCUUGAUCACCAUUCUUAUUCUUUAUAGCACAUAUAUACACUUGAUUGAUUGAUCAGUAAUAGUCAGAGAAUUGUUUCUUUUGUAGAGAGAUUGCAGAGUUUAGAAAAAAGUCUACUUUUAUAUAUGCAUGUACCUUGAAUACCCAUGUUCUGUUUGGUAUAAGAUACCAAUUUUUUGUUUGUGAAUUCAUAUUCAAAAUUUAUAUAUUUGUACAGCCGCUUACUUGUAAAGGUCCACCUUUGAUAAUUAUAUGCCCUUUUUAAAUUCGUUUUUCUUUUUUAAGUGAUGUAAAAAUAAAAACUGAAACGUAAGCAAUUGCGAGGAUCGUGAAAAAUUACUUACUCAUAAAUUAAGCGUCGUUUUAUAACAAGAUUAUGAUUUAUCGUGGCAACGAUACAUUUUUUCUUAAUUUAGUUUAAACAAACAACAAACGUACGAUAAUACACGUUUUUUUUUUGUCAAAGUCUGCAGAAGCCCGCGGGAAUAUUUGUGACCAAGACCGAAGGUCGAGUUCGCAAACAUAUCCCAAGGGCUUCUUCAGACGUUAAUGUAGGGAUAACGCAUGCUUUUCGUGUUAUAACGUCUGCAGAACCCCGAGGGAUUGUUGGUGUCCGAGUCUGUAGGGCGAGGGUACCAACGUAUCCCGACUGAUUCUGAAGAUGUUAUAACACGAAAGGAACGUGCGCUAACGUUAUUCUAACAUUAAACGCGAAAAUAAAACUAAUAAAUGAAUACAUUCUCCCACAACGUCAUUAAAUUUCCAUGAAAUACGCGGGAAUAUCAGAGUUGUUUUUUCACGUUGACGUCAUUUCCAUUUGAAUUAUCCGUUUUGGGGCCGUAAUACGUUUACGCUUUGCCACGGAACGUGUUUAUAUAAAAAGGUGUUAUAACAGCACAUGAGCGCGAGAAUCUCUCUGUUAACACACGUUUUCUCUCUUGUUAAACAACCCGAAAAGUGACAAGAACAGCAGUUCUAUGCUAGAAUACAUAAAACAACGUGUAUUGUUGCUAUUCUAGCAUAAAAAACGCGACACGACGACUAAAUGUAUUGUUUUCAUAUGUGAUGACUUUACGAUUCCGGUACAUUUUUAUUACCAUUCGGUUGUUCUUGGAAAUGGCAAACAUGUUUUAAAUAUCCAUUACCGGGGCCCAGAUACAAUGUAUCAACAACACAACCAAAAGCAUGUACUGAAGGUUUUUAAGCGAUUUUUUUAUUUCCUAUUAUUACAAACAUGACAUUACCGAUAAUUUUGCAUUGACUUUGAACAGACAAAAACAAAUAUCUACUUCCGAAAUGUCAUAUAAAUACAAAAUUAUGUGAAUAACAACGUAGUCACGAUGAUAUACUACUGAAAUGUGACACAUGAUGAGCUAAACAUAAACAUAUAUUAAUUAAACGAAAAUAUCUUGUGGAUGACGAAAAAAACUUGAAGUAUUAUAAAUUUUGAAUAAAAUUUCUUACAGUAAAUGUUUCUUUAAUCAACAAUGCUAUCUUACACAAAUAUUGUUUAUUAGUAGUAUUCAGUCACUCAUAUAAAUGUUAGGCAUAGAUGACUUUUUAUAUCAGUGUUCAACAUAUUUCUGUCUUAAAUGUUCAAAGGAAAAGUAUAUACAAAUAAAGCAGUACUCACCUUCUAUCUCAUUUCUGAUACCGUGUGAAUAUAAGUAUGUUCUCUCGUUUCUUGAACUGGUGUUUCUAGCACAGCGUCCACUUUGUAUACGAGUACACAGUGGAUGAACUAACUGUCUUGAUCUAUAAUAGAGCAAGUAUAAACUAGGUAGUAUAUCCACUAGCACCAGGUCGGAAAUAAAACACCAUUGUACAUGUUUAACCUACCCCUAGAUAGAUAACCAUGGUAAUCAACAGGAAAAUAUGCUUGACCAUUUCAGUCACCGGAACGUGCAGCUCGUCAAAUAGGUAUCAAACAAUUGGUACUUUGUCUUCAAAGUCAUAUUUUCUCAAAGGUUAUAACUGUCUUCACAGUCACAUUUUCUCAGAAGAUUAUGAUGGUCCUAGAUCGAUCACCUGAGCUCCUAAGUUUAUAGUAGCUAUGAAACGAAUUCCGCUAACGGACAUGAUUUUGUACAAAUCAAAAUGUGUUAACAGUCUUAAUCAAAUGUUCCCGUUACAUAUUGUUUUGCCAAGAAAUAUAGAGAAAAUAAGCAGUGUUCAGGC